rfam:Schistosoma mansoni, Puerto Rico, WGS project CABG01000000 data, contig: 0080
AUCCAUCUGACGAGUCCCGCGUAGGACGAAACGCGCAUCAAACUGGAU